rnacentral:rRNA from 1 species
GACAGAGGCCACGAGCGUUAGGCGGAAUCACUGGGCUUAAGGCGCGUGUAGGCGGCUUGGCAAGUCGGAUGUGAAAGCCCACGGCUCAACCGUGGAAGCGCAUCCGAAACUGCUUCGCUCGAGUCUCGGAGAGGAAGGUGGAAUGCUUGGUGUAGAGGUGAAAUUCGUAGAUAUCAAGCAGAACACCUGCGGCGAAGGCGGCCUUCUGGACGAUGACUGACGCUGAGACGCGAAAGCGUGGGGAGCAAACAGG